GGGCUAGUGGCACAAUGGAUAACACGUCUGUCUAGUAAGAUUCUAGGUUCGACUCCUGGCUAGUUUG